rnacentral:rRNA from 1 species
GGAUUUUUCUCAAUGGGGGCAACCCUGAAGGAGCGACGCCGCGUGGAGGAUGAAGGGCUUCGGCUCGUAAACUCCUGUCACUAGGGAACAAUUGUGCCGACUUAAUACGUUUGCACUUGAUGGUACCUGGAGAGGAAGGCACGGCCAACCCUGUGCCAGGAGCCGCGGUAAUACAGAGGUGCCAAGCGUUGUUCGGAUUUACUGGGCGUAAAGGGUGCGUAGGUGGUUUAGUAAGUCGGGUGUGAAAUCCUGCAGCUCAACUGCAGAACUGCAUUCGAAACUGCCAAGCUAGAGUACUGGAGAGGAGAUCGGAAUUCUCGGUGUAGCAGUGAAAUGCGUAGAUAUCGAGAGGAACACCAGUGGCGAAGGCGGAUCUCUGGACAGUUACUGACACUGAGGCACGAAAGCCAGGGGAGCAAACGGG